GAUGAACGCUAGCGAUAGGCUUAACACAUGCAAGUCGAGGGGCAGCACAAGGUAGCUUGCUCUCUGGGUGGCGACCGGCGCACGGGUGCGUAACGCGUAUGCAACUUGCCCUAUACAGGAGGAUAACCCGUCGAAAGACGGACUAAUACUGCGUAUGCUCACAACUUGGCAUCCAGUGGUGAGGAAAGAAAUUCGGUAUAGGAUAGGCAUGCGUCCCAUUAGCUUGUUGGUGAGGUAACGGCUCACCAAGGCAACGAUGGGUAGGGGAACUGAGAGGUUAUCCCCCACAAUGGUACUGAGACACGGACCAGACUCCUACGGGAGGCAGCAGUGAGGAAUAGUGGUCAAUGGGCGCGAGCCUGAACCAGCCAAGUCGAGUGAAGGAUGACUGUCUUAUGGAUUGUAAACUUCUUUUAUACGGGAAUAACAAGAGUCACGUGUGACUCCCUGCAUGUACCGUAUGAAUAAGCAUCGGCUAACUCCGUG
rnacentral:rRNA from 1 species